CUGCUGUAUUCAUUGUUAUUAUACAGGAGUCCUGUUGAUGUGAUGGACUGAUUUUAUGCUAUCAGAAAACCAGUUGCUGAGGUUAUAAAAAAAGCAAGAUGAAAUCCCUAUCCUGAAGUGAACACCUUGACUUUGGUAGGCAUAUAAAUGGGCCUGUGAUUUUGCAGUGGCUUGUAGCUGAACAAUCCAGAGCCAGGCUACCCUUGGUCACACCUGAUGUGGACCUGACUUUCCCUUGAAGGGCCUCUUUUAAAGAAAUUCCAAUUCUUUUAAUAACUUUCCUCAUCAGCAUCCUCUUUCC
rnacentral:lncRNA from 1 species